UACGGAGGGUGCAAGCGUUAAUCGGAAUUACUGGGCGUAAAGCGUACGUAGGCGGCUUGUUAAGCAAGAUGUGAAAUCCCCGGGCUCAACCUGGGAAUGGCAUUUUGAACUGGCAGGCUCGAGUUCUGAAGAGGGUGGUAGAAUUUCCAGUGUAGCGGUGAAAUGCGUAGAUAUUGGAAGGAAUACCGGUGGCGAAGGCGGCCACCUGGGCUAAUACUGACACUGAGGUGCGAAAGCGUGGGGAGCAAACAGG
rnacentral:rRNA from 1 species